UGGGGUAUCGCCAAGCGGUAAGGCACCGGUUUUUGAUACCGGCAUUCCCUGGGUUCGAAUCCAGGUACCCCAGCCA
rnacentral:tRNA from 4 species